UGUAAUAGAGAUAGGUUACUUUCCUAACAUGGUAUUAGAGCGUAGGUUUAGGUCUCUGGACGCUUCAACUCGUCCUUACCAUCCAAUUUUAUUUUCUUCAUCUCCCUCUCGAUCGAUCUGUUCCUUGUCGAUCUUGUCUUCCGCCGUCCGCUACCGCUUCACGACAUCACCAACCCCGGCGAUUCAUUUGUGCUGAAGCUGGCUGCUCUCCAAGUCUUGGACGAUCCCCCCCCCCCCCCCNN
rnacentral:lncRNA from 1 species